CCUACGGGAGGCAGCAGUGGGGAAUUUUGGACAAUGGGCGCAAGCCUGAUCCAGCAAUGCCGCGUGCAGGAUGAAGGCCUUCGGGUUGUAAACUGCUUUUGUACGGAACGAAAAGGCUCUGGCUAAUACCUGGGGCUGAUGACGGUACCGUAAGAAUAAGCACCGGCUAACUACGUGCCAGCAGCCGCGGUAAUACGUAGGGUGCGAGCGUUAAUCGGAAUUACUGGGCGUAAAGCGUGCGCAGGCGGUUUUGUAAGACAGGGGUAAAAUCCCCGGGCUUAACCGGGGAACGGCACUUGUGACUGCAGGGCUGGAGUACGGCAGAGGGGGAUGAAAUUCCGGGUGUAGCAGUGAAAUGCGUAGAUAUGCGGAGGACCACCGAGGGCGAAGGCGGCCCCCGGGGCCUGUCCUGACGCUCAGGCACGAAAGCGUGGGGAGCAAACGGGAUUAGAUCCCCUGGUAGU
rnacentral:rRNA from 1 species